UGGUUAUCUCUCCUCCCUCCUCCUCCUGGUUAUUUCCUCUCCUCCUCCUGGUUAUUCUCUCCUCCUCCUCCUCCUCCUGGUUAUUUCCUCUCAUCCUCCCUCCUGGUUAUUUCCUCUCCUCCUCCUGGUUAUUUCCUCUCAUCCUCCUCCUGGUUAUUUCCUCUCCUCCUCCUCCUCCUGGUUACUUCCUCUCCUCCUUCUCGUCGUUAAUCCUGACCUACUUUUCCUCCUGUAAAAAGUGAAGUUACAAACAUUUGUCCAGAGCUUCACUUCCGGCAGACCUUCCCAACAUGGCGGCCGUGCGCACCGCGGCCUGUCGCUGAACUUCUGCAGGACUUUCCUAAACUCCACUCGACUCGUUCCUGGAGUGAAAUGUGGUUCGGUUCCAGCCCGUGAGCCUCCAGCGGACUCUCCCGGGGAUGUGCUCGCUCCGUGCGGCCUUCUGAAGGAGCUCCAUCCCGCGGAAACACGAAGGUCUGAGGAGCGGUUGCCAUGGCGUCCUAUGACCAGCUGCUGAGGCAGGUGGAGGUGCUGAAGAUGGAGAACUCACCUGAGACAGGAGCUGCAAGACAACUCCACCCACCUGAGCAAGCUGGAGAGCGAGGCGUCCAACAUGAAGAUCGGGCACAGGCUCCGUUUGGGGAACUACACCCCCCUCCCCCCGCUCGUAUUGUCCUGCACUUCCUGUCCG
rnacentral:lncRNA from 1 species